ensembl:snRNA U6 U6 spliceosomal RNA
AUGCUUCCUUUGGUAGCACAUUUACAAAAAUUAGAAUGAUACAGAGAAGAUUAGCCUGGCUCCUGAAAAGGAUGACAUGCAAAUUUGUGAAAACCAUACGUCACUU